rnacentral:lncRNA from 1 species
GCCGUCGCUCUGAAGUGGCAUCAACCUCCGCCCAGAAACUCUGCCUCUUCCUCUUCACGUUUAAAUGCCAGCAGAGACUCAAACAGAUCUACCGACACCGAUGGCUGUGGCAAGAAUUGGACUUUCCAUAAGGAUUCUGUAAGGAAAUGACUGGCUGAGUCGCGAUUUCCGAGGUAAAGUGAAGAGCUUGCUGGAAAUGAUUGUCCUCGUUGAGUACUAUAAUGAAACAAGCGGCGCUAGAAGCCUAUUCAGUAACGUUACAGAUAGAUGUGUAGAAGAAACUCUUACACUCAUCCACUGACAUGAUCAAAACAAACGCACGUCGGACCCGACAAGGAUGGUCUCUGAUCGCUUUCUUGGAUCUGCGAGGGGGAUAUGAACUGACACCGGGGCUGGACUGUCCUUUGUGCUGUUCUCUGCGCAACACAACUUGAAGCACAUACUCAGACUAUCAUACACACAUGCACAGUGAUACGUGUGGUGUUACAAGGGCAGAAAACAACGUGUCUACUAGUGAUGGCGUAGCUAGAAGAAACAACAUGUCCUUCCAGCACAGAUGGCAAGUUUCAUUGGGGAUCUUGCUUGUGAUAGCAGGCCUAGUGCUCUUUAUGACAAUGCAUAUGUACAAGGGUAUGUACAUUGUUCUCAUUAGCAUACCUAUAGUGUGUCUGGGCCUUUUUAUUCUCAUCCGUGCCUUCUGCAUGGUCAUUAAAUCCAGUCAUGUAGCUGUGCCGGGUCACUUCCUUCUACACCCGCGAACAGGCACCCGUUACACCCACCAUCAAGCCAUUGCGGUGCAAAGGAGGCUGGAUCGCAUCCGGAGGGCUACGGCAGAGGAGCAAAGUCCAGUCCAAGUGCCUCCCAUCUCAGACAUCAGUCCACAGAGCCAACCUGCAACCCCUCCCCCCUGGCAAAUGGAGCCGCCGCCGUCUUAUGAGACUGUUAUGAAGACCACUACAGCAGUAAACCAAGUAUAACCACUGGUUUGACUGUAGACACUGACACGUUAUGAUUGAAAAGUUGGUUUAAUUGGGGGUGCACAGAUAGUAAAAAUCUGUCAGUCACAGUUCAUUAUUUUCGUUUUAUGGCUGAUAGCUGAUAAAUGGCCAUAUUAAACUCUAUUCUACAUAAAUAAAUAAAUACUUUAAAUGCUACAACUUAAUGUAGGCAUCAAAACAGCAAUG